rnacentral:rRNA from 1 species
GAAUCCCUUCGGCUCAACCAGAGGAGUGCAUCUCUCGAAACUGUCUGGCUUGAGUACCGGAGGGGGAAAUGGAAUUCCCGGUGUAGAGGUGAAAUUCGUAGAUAUCGGGAGGAACACCGGUGGCGAAGGCGGCUUCCUGGGACCGAUACUGACGCUGAGACGCGAAAGCGUGGGGAGCAAACAGGAUUAGAUACCCUGGUAGUCCACGCCGUAAACGUUGGGCACUUGGUGUUGCGGGUAUUGACCCCUGCAGUGCCAAGGGCGAAUUCC